rnacentral:rRNA from 1 species
CGCUGAGUUUGAUCCUGGCUCAGGAUGAACGCUGGCGGCGUGCUUAACACAUGCAAGUCGAACGAGGUCCAUGGAGCUUGCUCCGGAAGACCUAGUGGCGAACGGGUGCGUAACACGUGAGAAACCUGCCCCGAUCUCUGGGAUAACAGUUGGAAACGACUGCUAAUACCGGAUGCCGUCACACCGCUUCAUGGCGGAGUGCCGAAAGAUUUAUCGGUAUCGGGAGGGUCUCGCGGCCUAUCAGCUAGUUGGAGAGGUAACGGCUCACCAAGGCAUCGACGGGUAGCUGGUCUGAGAGGAUGAUCAGCCACACUGGGACUGAGACACGGCCCAGACUCCGUACGGGGAGCAGCAGUUGGGGGAAUUUGGACAAUGGGGCGCAAGCCUGAUCCAGCCAGUG